rnacentral:rRNA from 1 species
UGGGGAAUAUUGGUCAAUGGGCGAAAGCCUGAACCAGCAAUGCCGCGUGAGUGAUGAAGGCCUUCGGGUUGUAAAGCUCUGUCAGUGGGAACGAAUAAACCGAUUAAUACCCGGCGAUGACGGUACCCACAAAGGAAGCACCGGCUAACUCUGUGCCAGCAGCCGCGGUAAUACAGAGGGUGCAAGCGUUGUUCGGAAUUACUGGGCGUAAAGCGCGUGUAGGCGGUCCUUCAAGUCGGACGUGAAAUCC